CAGCAGCCGCGGUAAUACGGGGGGAGCAAGCGUUAUCCGGAAUGAUUGGGCGUAAAGCGUCUGUAGGUGGUUUUUUAAGUCUACUGUCAAAUACGUUGGCUCAACCAACGGCAGGCAGUGAGUACUAAAGAACUAGAGUGCGGUAGAGGUAGAGGGAAUCCCUAGCGUAACAGUGAAAUGUGUAGAUUUUAGGGAGAACACCAGCGGCGAAGGCGCUCUACUGGGCCGAUACUGACACUGAGAGACGAAAGCUAGAGUAGCGAAUAGGAUUAGAUACCCUAGUAGUUCUAGCUGUAAACGAUGGAAACUAAGAGGGGGUAACCCCCUUCUGUAGCUAACGCGUUAAGUUUCCCGCCUGGGGAGUAUGCUCGCAAGAGUGAAACUCAAAGGAAUUGACGGGAGACCACACAAUAGGUGGAUUACGCGGUUUAAUUUGAUGCAACGCAAAGAACCUUACCAGGGUUUGACAUGUAUAGAAUUUUUCAGAAAUGGAAAAGUGCUUCCUUUCUAUGAAAGGAAGAACUAUAACACAGGUGGUGCAUGGCUGUCGUCAGCUCGUGCGGUGACGUGUAUGGUUAAGUCCUGCAACGAGCGCAACCCUCGUCUUAGCUUACUCUCAAAAGUCUCGAGAGACUGCGACGCGCAAGCGCUGAGGAAGGUCAGGAUGACGUCAAGUCAGCAUGCCCCUUACACCCUGGGCGACACGCCGUAUACAAUGGCUGGGACAAUCAGAAGCUACCCCGCAAGGGCACGCCAAUCCUGUUAAAACCAGCCUAAGUUCGGAUUGCAGGCUGCAACUCGCCUGCAUGAAG
rnacentral:rRNA from 1 species